UUUACUGGUCAUUAUUGGUUGUGUAUCUGGUUUUUACUGAUCAUUAUUGGUUGUAUAUCUAGGUACGUGUAUGACGAAAUCCCAGCUUUCAUUCUAGGAGGAAUUAAUUAGCAUUUCGAAAGUCGCUCUCGGCAGUAUUACCAUAUCACUAUUUUUAGACUUUUGUAGUCAAGUGAUUUUGUGAUUCACAGUUAAACUCUGGGUAGAUAAGGAACUUUUGACAAGGAAGAUAGAGUAUUUAUCAAAUCAGUACGGAAUACAAUUGGACUGAGAACAAGACAGUGAGGGGAGUGGUGGACCGGAAAAACACGUGGAGUUAGACGAGAAUAAGUUUGGAAAAAGAAAGUACCACCGUGGUAAGAGAAUAGAUGGUGUUGGACAGUAUAGAAAGGAAAUCCAAAAAGUGUUUCUUUGAGGUAGUUGAAGAUACUUUGAUUCCUAUUAUCAAAAAAUUGGUAGAACCCGGAACCGUAAUCUUGUCUAACUGUUCAAGUUUAAAAUCAGAGGGAUUUGAACAUUUAACAGUCAAAGUUUUAGUUAUAUCAAUGCAUGUUCUAUAAAUUCUUUUCAUUUUGAUUAGUAAUUCUGUUGGUGUCGUCUAAAUAAAAAAAUUCUAUAACAUUGAAGGUCCGAUUUGUCGGACAGCAGAUUCUUUGUUUUCGCAUUAAAAUUCUAUAGCUUUUAGAAUUCCUGCACAAACUUGUGAUAAAAACGCCACAUAGGGGUGUAUUCUGCAUGGAAAUGAUGAAGACUCCACAUAAGUACAUUGUUUUAAUUUUUCAAAGCAACAUAAUUAAUAAAAUACCCACAACUCUCACAAAAAUAAAUAAUUCCGGAUUGCUCUCGAUUUAAUUCAAAGUUUAUAUUCAUCAACAGCACACCUUUCGAUCCAAAAAAUCGUUCGUGCAAAAUUUAUUUGUAUUGAUAGAUUUUGAUAGGCUACAGUCAGUUUCUGGAUCGAAGGUCGUGUUUUAUAUUAAUUAUAUGACUAAAUUUGAAAAAAGUGGAGAUUUCUGCAGAAAACCAGACCGAUACCGGUUUUGUCUUGUAUAGAAUUCCACAAGCUGAUGUUUUGGCGGGGAAAUCUUGGCACGUCGCGAUGGUAUAAAGAUUAUAUUAUCAAAUGAUAACAAUUUUAUUUCAAUUCAUUCUACUUUAUUUUUUAACACACCACAGGGCCGAUAUAGCUAAACAUGGUCUUAGUUCUUUAGAAAUAAAGAGAUCGGAGGCUGUACACACCUUAUUGAAUCUAAUAUAUGGAAUAUGCAGUUAAAAAAACGUCUACCAAAAACCGGGACACAAAUGCAGCACUGCGAUAGUUACCUUAUUGAAUACUGUAUCCGGAAAAAAAGAAGUCGACUAUAAAUUUAUAUCUUUCUUUAACCUCAUCAAACGAAUUUACGUCUGCAAAAAAGACAACCAUUGGCCACUCUGGCUAGUAACAGCAACAAUGAAGACCAACUAAAUGCCAGUGUGGAUUUAUUUGACGACUAAUUAAGUUUUUCUUAAGAAUUUUAUUUCAGUGAUUAUUGGAGGCUGUCGCCUCAAGUCCCGUACGCUAAAGCGCAACUAGGCUUUUUUUCUCGAUCAAACUUUGCUUAUCCCUUCAAUACAAAACAAAAUGGCGACGACCAUGAUAGUUGAUAAGUAUUGACUCCGCACCACCUCACGUGCGGAUGUGAAAUCAAAAUGGCGGCCGUACCUGGAAAGUGAAGUCUAUCCGGAUUUGAACCCCGACCUUCCACAUGCAAGGCGAGCGCCCUACCUUUAGACCACCGCGGCAGUCCAAAGAUCGGACGAUCCGUCCUCAUCCAAUGAUUCGGCGUCCGUCGUUACAAACAUCGGACGACGAACGGCCGACGCCGGAUGGGGACUGAUGAUAGCAAUUGGUCUGAAGAGUAACCUAAUAAAAUUGGACUCGUUGAAAUGGUGAUCAUCUCAAAGGAUCCCGGUUUUAACAAAAUACAUACAAGGUAGUUUUAAAAUACUGUUUUCGGAGAAGACCAUUCUGUAUUCAGCAAAGGUUUAUGGGUGAAGUUUGAGUCUGGUAAAGCCAAGGGGAGAAAAUAUGCUCCAAACAAGGAUUUUACACAGAGAAGUUAGUUCGCCUUUGACCCUAGGCCUUCAUCUAGAAAAUUGGUUCAUGGCCAAUACACACACUCCACCCUUGGGCACUCUACAUGUAUGGAUGAGGUUUGAACCCUACUGGGCCGAGGGUAGAGCAGACAUGCUCCAAAGAUCUUACAUGUAUACAUAAAGGUUUAUUUACAGUGGCCUUUAAUCUAGGAAAGUGGGUCAAGGUUACUGUACACUCUCUACCCAUGGACAAUCUAUGGGUAAAGCUUUGAUAAGACUUGCUCAAGGAAAUAGGAAUAUUGUUCAAGACAAAUGAAAUCAGAUGGAGGGAUGGAUGGUCUAAUCAUUGCAGGGUUUUCGCAGAGCCAACCCUUAUAAUUACCCAAUUCCACAAAACGUCUAAAUUUCAGAUUCAGAGUGACGUCAUUAUCAAAUAUUAACAGUUCAAAUCAUUAUCUAUCAUUUUUGAAAGCUUCAAGAAAAUCGGCUGAGCCGUGCAAAAUUUGUUUUUUGCAAAGUGCGUUACCGGUAAUUUGGUCGAUAUUAACGCCUUUUGAUUUUUUUUCAAAGUGCACUGACUUGGUCCCCAAAAAACGCAUUAAAAAUUAUUCAAAGUGCAUAAUGUUUUUUAAAGUGCUACGUGACACAGCAUCCCUAUGGAAAUCCAAUUUGGAGGCCCAGACCUGCAGAGGCAGCAUUUCACAGCAAGCCAAGGGGGUGGGGGGUGGGGGUGUAUAUACAUGACUUGUACAUGUACAUGAGGCCAAGUAUCUGGUUGGAAUUUGAUAACAAUCUUUUAAUAAAUGUGUGCAAUAGUUAUGUUGUAUCUAUUGAUAUCAUAUACAACAGGUGAUAAAACUUGACUAUUACGAAGUCACUUGGAGCUCCCAAAUUAAAUGUUCCUUAUGUAACAAAAAUUAUCCCUCUCCGUCCAAAGCGACAACUUAAGGGCAAAAUUAUGAAUACACGUAGUUUCUUCUCUUCCAACACAAUAAUCGAAAACAUAUUGCACUAUAUGAAUGACAAACAGGAAAACUGCUAUAUUGUAAACAAUAGCCUGAUUUCUAAACAUAAUGUUACCUAAUUCUGAGCACUUCGUUUUCAAAAUUUCCCUAAGAUUGAUUCAUGACUAAAAUCAAGGACUGAAGAAACGAACAGUCAUAUUUUAUUUAUUCAGCAAUUAUCGUCUGUAAGAUCAAAAUCAAGUAUCGAUAAACAACGGAUUUUACAAAUGCAAUCGUAAUCCGGCAUGCUGAAUUUACUUCAUAUCGAACAUUUAUUACCGGUAUCUUGUCAUUUAAAUUUAGAAAUUGGCUUACAUCCGUAGAUUCGCGAAAGCAUUUCCACCACUUUACUCUCAUUUUACUGCUACCCCAGGGUAGUUUAUCGAAAAGGAAAGUAUGUUUUUAAAUUUAUUUCACGAAAUUUACUAACCAAGAAAGAUUCUAUUAUAGCUUACGAACUUCACCUCUAAUAUGAAAAAAAUAUUAAAGGUUCAAGCAGUAACUCUCGAGCAAGCGUUUCGGAGUUUACUGGCAAAUUCUAUAAAUUCAUAUAUAUAGAUAUAUGUACUUAUAAGAAAAUUAUUCGAUUUAUAUAUUAAAAGCAAUAAAUUAUUUAUAAUUUUGAUAAUUCAUCACAAAAAAAAUGCAAGAAAUAUUUUUUUGUUAACCUGAAAACGACAAACAUUACCUGACGAAGCUUUGUAUUUUUGACUUUGUUAUUGUUUCUAAAUUUAGAUAAGGGGAUUUCCAAUCCAUUUGAAAACAAAGAGCAAAUAUUCAUCUUCGUUAUGUUACCGUUACGUGUAUAUCAAUAUAAAAUUCAAUCGUUACGAUCGCGUUUCUAAGACGUACUAUCAUUUCUAGAUGAAAUGACAUUUCUACGGUCGAACCAGUGACGUGCAUAUUCCUCCUAAAUCUAUAUCAUGUGACCUCAUUACAAGUCUUAUUAUUUUUAUCCUUUCUCGGCUCGAUUAUAUACAACUCAACAUAUUGACAUUGCUAUUUUUUCAUGGUCUGUUCGUUGUUUUCUUUUUAGACAAUACUCAACAGAGAAUGGUUUAUUACAUGUUACAAAAAGUCAACUGCUUACCCCAGCUUAUCGAUGGUGAUGUUAGAACUAUUAAUAAAUAUUACAUCAUAGGAUCACGCGACACCGACAUUUUUUGUUAGAAAUUAAAAAAACACGAAAGGCUUGUUUAAUUUGCAAACGUAGAUAUUUUCAAAUACAUAUUACAUGUGUCUUUGAUUCGACAAACAAUGGGUGCGAUAUUUAUCAUUCAUUCACAGGGACAUCUUAUCCAUUUUCAUUUAAAUUUAGUAUGACCUAAAAAUAGUCACCGAUUAAAAAUUCACCUUAGUUCCAAGAACAGAUCGAAUUUCCCUAUCUAAAAGGCGUUAAACAUCUCCUAAAGAAGUCCAACGUAGUCCAAUUCUUUCAAAUUUGAUUUAAUAACUUUUAUAGACGAAAAUAAUCCAACCUGUCUACGACUCCAGCAAGGACGCUAAAUUCCGGUUUUC